rnacentral:tRNA from 1 species
CGGGGCAUGGUGUAACGGCUAACAUGCUCGCUUUGGGAGCGAGUGACUCUGGGUUCGAAUCCCAGUGCCCCGA